rnacentral:lncRNA from 1 species
CUUAAGAAAUCGUAAGAUAAAUUUGCCAAACGAGGGCUCAAGGUGCGUGUUGUUUACUUGUAUUAGUCUAUUUCAAUACAUAAUGUUAUCUUGCUUUAUAUAGGGCUGAGAUAUUGAAAUUCUUUAUGUAGAAUUGAGGACGUCGGAACAAGUGGAAGUGGUGUUAAUUCAUGAAGACAUGUAUGGUUCUUUUUUUAUCAUGGAAGACUCUUAAUUUGGUACUUUUCUACCUUCAAUAUUCUAUGUAUUGUUUGAGUCUAUUGGUUGAAUUGUGCUCUUUGAAAAAUAU